UACGAAGGGGGCUAGCGUUGCUCGGAAUUACUGGGCGUAAAGGGCUCGUAGGUGGCCAACUAAGUCAGACGUGAAAUCCCCAGGCUCAACCUGGGAACUGCGUCUGAUACUGGAUGGCUUGAAUUCGGGAGAGGGAUGCAGAAUUCCAGGUGUAGCGGUGAAAUGCGUAGAUAUCUGGAGGAAUACCGGUGGCGAAGGCGGCAUCCUGGACCGAUAUUGACACUGAUGAGCGAAAGCCAGGGGAGCAAACAGG
rnacentral:rRNA from 1 species